rnacentral:rRNA from 1 species
UACGGAGGGGGCUAGCGUUGUUCGGAAUUACUGGGCGUAAAGCGCGCGUAGGCGGCUUUGCAAGUCAGGGGUGAAAUCCCGGGGCUCAACCUCGGAACUGCCUUUGAUACUGCAAGUCUCGAGUCCGGAAGAGGUGAGUGGAAUUCCUAGUGUAGAGGUGAAAUUCGUAGAUAUUAGGAAGAACACCAGUGGCGAAGGCGGCGCACUGGUCCGGUACUGACGCUGAGGUGUGAAAGCGUGGGGAGCAAACAGG